CAUUGACUGACUGAUGAUCACUGGAUCCUAAACUUUCACCUACAUUAAUAUCUGAUACCAAGUCUACAUUUAACACUAAAUCUAGUAUGGCCACCUUACAAAUUGGCUCCUCAACGACUUGUUUUAGAGACAAUUGCAGUAGGGAGUUUAGAAUAUGUGUGCUGGUGGCACAAGCAGCUAUUUUGGUUUUCCAGUUCACAUCAGGAAGAUUAGAGUCACCCAUGAUAACUUCCACUUUGUCAUUUUAGCUUUUUCCUUGACUAGUAGACUAGCCAUUUGUCCUGGGAGCUUAUCACACGAGUUACUGUGGGAUUACCAAAUUCUAACGUAACCCAAACAGACUGUUUGCCUCACUAACAUUUAUUAGGCUAGAUUUUAUGCUAUCCUUCGCAUACAGGGCCACCCUUCCUACUUUGUCUUUUCUGUAUAAAAAUAACCUGGUAUUGCAAUUUCUCAUUAUACCAUUUCUCAAUAACAGCAACUAAGUCUACAUUAUCAGUUGCCAUUAUUGCCACAAGUUCAUGGAUCUUACUCCCUAAACUGCGAGCAUUUGUAGACAUGACUAAGCUUAUUUUUUUUAA